UACGUAGGUGGCAAGCGUUACCCGGAAUCAUUGGGCGUAAAGCGUCCGCAGGCGGUUUCGUAAGUCAGAUGUAAAAUCUAUAGGCCCAACCUAUAGCUCGUAUCUGAAACUACGGAACUAGAGUAUGUUAGAGGUCAGUGGAAUUUCUGGAGUAGGGGUAAAAUCCGUAGAUACCAGAAGGAACACCAAUUGCGAAGGCAGCUGACUGGGACAUUACUGACGCUCAUGGACGAAAGCGUGGGGAGCGAAAAGG
rnacentral:rRNA from 1 species